rfam:Glomerella graminicola M1.001 genomic scaffold supercont1.7, whole genome shotgun sequence.
UCCGAUAUGGUGUAGUGGCCAACAUGAUGCCCUCUCAUCUCGUGAGAGGCUAGGCAUAGCCCCGAGUUCGAUUCUCGGUUUCGGAA